AACCCCACCCCCCCCCGCGCCUCCGGGGAUCCUGUGAGCCCCGCCGAGCCCGCAGCUCAGGAGCCCCGGGGAACGGUGAGGAAGCAGCACUGUCCCCCGCAGGACUCGCCUCCCCUGAAAGCCGGAGGCCUCUCCUGCAUCCAGGCCCCAGCGGGCAAAGGCUGGGCUGGCCGGGAGACCGCUGGCCUGGGAGGUCUCAUCACAGCCCCACUGGACUCAGAAGAGGGCACGGAGCCCAGGGCCCGGGAGGGAGCACCGUUCUCUCUGGACUCGGCCUCACCACCGCCCCCACCCCAUGGCGGCUGCCACGGAGCGCUGAGCCCUAACCUGGAGUCAACUUGCAGGGAAGAAGGGGGCGGAGGAGAGGCCUUUGGGCCCAGCCCUGCCCUUGGCUGCCUCGUGAAGUCAGGGCACCGUGCAGCCUCCCCGGGCCUCAGAGCUCUAACAUGGAACUAUACUGGCAGCUUUCUAAGGGUCUAGUAAUGGGCACUUGUGGCGCCUCCCCCACAGUGAACCUCAGCGUGCGCCCAGUGGGUGUUUCUUGUACCAAGGCACACGGGGCUGGGUGAGGCUGUCAGGCCAUGCGGGCACCCAGCAGGGAGCCACAGCCGUGCAGGCCGCCACGGGAGCCCAGGCCAGAAGCAACCAGGCAGCUCAGCUGGGUCCAGAGUUGAUCCCGCUCGGGAGCCAAGGACUCUAAUUCCCACAGCCAGGCUCCCAGGAGCAUGGACAGGAUGGCGGGAUAAGGAGAGACCUAGAGGCCCAGAAGACCAGGGCACGGACCGGAGCCGCCAGAGGGGGCGGGGCGGAGAGUGGAGUGACGUGCGAGAGUCACAGUGGGUGAGAGUAAAGGGCGAGCUGCCAGCAGUUAGGAGGACGGGACAGAGUGGAGGUGGACAGAGGUGAUACAGUCAUGAGAAUAACGUGUGUCUAGGACGCAGAGACUGACGGUAACAAAGAGAAAACACUCAAGAUAAAAUCCAGGAAAUCCUGAAAGCAAUCUUAGGACAAAAGAAGCAAAAAGAAAAUCAUCAGAAAACAAAGGGCAUGAACAACAGGCAUCAGACACAACUGGCUGAAUUUGCGCCUCAAAACAAAAUGUUUUUCAAGCACAGGAGGAGAAAAAGUGAAGCACCUCUGAGAGGAAAGUCCGGCCUUCCUGAAGCCUUGUUUUUCUUUUUGACACAGGAUCUCACUCUGUCACCCAGGAUGGAGCACAGUGGUGCAAUCUCUGCUCACUGCACCUUCCACCUCCCGGGCUCAGGCAAUCCUCCCACCUCAGCCUCCCCAGUAGCUGGGACCACAGGCACAUGCCUGUGCACCACGCCCACUUCCCAAGGCCCUUUACACAAACACUAAAUGUUAGAAGAAAAUGAAGCAGUGUCCACAAAAUUCCACAGGGAAAACAGUAGGCCAGGAACACUCUGUGGCUGUGCAAUAGGGAUGGUUGGAAGACUCUGUGGUUCUACAGUGAAGACGGCAGGAAGAGUCUGUGGCUCUGCAGAAGAGUUAGCGGGAAGAGUCUGUGGCUCUGCAGGGGAGACGGCAGGAAGAGUCCGUGGCUCUGCAGGGGAGACGGCGGGAAGAGUCCGUGGCUCUGCAGGGGAGACGGCGGGAAGAGUCCGUGGCUCUGCAGGGGAGACGGCGGGAAGAGUCCGUGGCUCUGCAGGGGAGACGGCGGGGAGAGUCCGUGGCUCUGCAGGGGAGACGGCGGGGAGAGUCCGUGGCUCUGCAGGGGAGACGGCGGGGAGAGUCCGUAUGAUUCUUCAGCGGAGGCAGCAGGGCAGAAGGUGCAGCCUUCCCAGUGACAGCAAUGGAGAAGACAGACGAAGUCAGUGUCUUUUAAACAAGAGUCUGAUGGCACUGAAAAACUGCUGAGGAAGUGAAGAAUGAGGUCGAGAGGACAACAGUGCAGCAGGGUGGUCCCUGGCCUGGGGACUCCGACAAGGCCCAGAGCAAAGGGUCAGUUCCUCAGCAGAGGAUGGGCCAAGGGACAGACCUGCAUUUAGAGCACUCUGUAUGGCUUGGGUUUAGGGUUGCCAGACUUAGCUAAUAAACAGGAUGCAGUUUGGGGGAUAUAUACUAAAUCAAUUAUUCAUUGUUUAUCUGAAAUUCAAAUUUAGGCUCAUUCCUGUAAUCCCAGCACAUUGGGAGGCUGAGAUGGGAGGAUUGCUUCAGCUGAGGAGUUUGAGGCCAGCCUGUACAACAUGGUGAUUCUCCUGCCUCAGACACCUGAGUAGCCUCAGCCUCCAAUGUGCUGGGAUUACAGGUGUGUGCCACCAUGCCUGGCUAAUUUUUGUAUUUUUUGGUAGAGACAGGGUUGUACCAUGUUGGCCAGGCUGGUCUUGAACUCCUGACCUCAAGGGAUCUGCCCACCUUGGCCUCCUAAAGUGCUGGGAUUACAGACAUGAGCCACUAAACCCGGCACAGGUAAUAUAUAUGAUUAAUUUUUAAUUUUUAUUUUUUGAAAAUUAUAUUUUAAAAGUAAGGGAAUGGCAAGCACAUUUGUAAGAGUGGGUUCAUCUGCAGGGAGGAGUGGAGACAGACCAGGAUAUAAUCGUGUUGGUGCCAUGCAGGCCCCACAUUCUACUUUCCUUACUACGGUGCAUGUAUAUCACAUAUGUUCUUUUGUACACAGGAUUAAAGAGAUUUUUAUGCAUCCAGCAAUUCCUUGAGCUUCACUAGUUUAUUUUCAUUUGUUAAAUUUAUCAUUUUAUUUUUAAAAUGAAAUGUAUAAAAUAUCCUGCUGUUAUGAAAUUCUCUCUCCACCUCUUUCUGCCUCUCCAUAAUUAUGGAAAUUUGCCCCAUGUAAAAAUGGAGAGAAAUAUUUGGAUUGUGCAUAAAAUGUUUGCACAUUUGUUAUUUUUUUUUUUCAGUUUUUGUUUCUUUUUCCCUUUAGAGACAGGGUCUUGCUUUGUUGCUGAGACUGGAGUGCGGUGAUGGCCUCACGGCUCGCUGACUGUAGACUUCACCUCCGCAGGCUCAGGUGAUCCACCCCCACCUCAGCCUCCUGAGGAGCUGGGACUACGAGGAUGUGUCACCAUGCCCGGCAAAGAGAUGGAGUCUCACCAUAUUGCAUACUGCAUAUUGCCCAGGCUGGUCUCAAACUCCUGGGCUCAAGUGAUCCUCCCACCUUGACUUCCCAGAGUGCUGGGGUUUAAGUGGGAGUCGCUGCUCCUGGUCUGCGCAUUUGUUAUUUCCAAAUAUUGGGAUACUGGAAUACUGGAUGAUUUGUGAUCUGCAGCUUCUUCCUUUGAUUUGGGGGCGUUGCUCACAGGUUUUAUGAGUCAGGUUUUGUUGGUUUUUUUUUCUGCUACCCAGUAGCUGUCCAUCUUUCCUGUGUGGGUGGAGUCCUUCCGCGGGCACCCCCAGAGACGGGCACAUUUCCUCUGUGUUCUCUCACUGCCGAGAGUAUCAGAGGAACAUGGAACUUUAAACAACUGCAUGGGCCUUGAAGGAGAAUCAUCCCUCUAUUCCCAGAGCUAAAUACUCUGAAAUUCCAAAAUCCAAGCUUGAGGGACUUUUUGUGACUCUGUUGAAACGAAUUAUCAUAUGUGGUAUAACAGGAAAUUACCAGUUUAAGCCCCCACUGCAUUCAUAUGUUAAAAGAGCCUCUAGAGCCUGUGGAGUUUGUGUUGGGAGGAUCACUUGGCCGCUGUGUUCCUCUGGUUUGGCGUUGCUCUAAGGGAACACCUGAGACUGGGUAAUUUAUAGAGAAGAGGUUGACUUGGCUCAUGGUUCUGCAGGCUGCACAAGCUUGGCAGCUGUGUCUGCUCAGCUUCUGGGGAGGCCCCAGGAAGCCUCUCCUCAUGGUAGAAGGUAAAGGAGGAGCAGGCUGUGCCACACGGCGAGGGGCGGAGCAAGGAAGAUGCCAGGCGCAUUAACCAGUCAGCUCUCGUGUGAGCUCGUGAUCUCACAGAGUGAGAAAUCAUUAGGGUGAGGAGGGCACAAGCUGUUCAUGAGGCAUCUGCCCCCAUGACCCAAACACCUCCCAUGAGGCCCCACCUUUGACACUGGGGAUCACAUUUCAAUAUGAGAUUCGGAGGGGACCAAACCAUAUAGGCUAAUUGAGCAGGGUCUCACACACAGUAAGCAUUCAACAAAUGUGAACUACCCUUGUCAUCCCCUCACCUCACUGUAAGGAACGCCAGUAGGAGAGGCAGGAACUUCCUACCACGACAGCCUGUCGGAGAAAACACAGCACUGCAAGGGGGUUGCAUAGACUGAUGGCAAUGUGAGACUUCUUUCUCCGCUUUUAUUCUCCAUUUUUUGGCAGAAAAUGAUGGUUUUGAGGAAUGCCUAGAUCAUUGUCAGCUCAAUCAGAAGGUGACUCCCCUUGUAGCUGCUGUUUCAAGUGUGUUCUCCUUAAAGAAGCAAAUCAAUACAAUCGAGCGCCUGUUAUGCAGCGACUGAUCUGGUCAAUAUUCUUUCCUAUCCAGUCAGCGUUCACCAGAAGCAAGCUGCCCUCCUUGGGAGGCAUCAGCAAACCUUCCCAUCUUGUCAUGUGCUUUCUGUGCCACAGUUUGGUCCACAGGGAGCUUGGCCGUCUCAACACCCUGAGUGAUCCUGACAGUGCAGUACGCUGACAAGGGCACCGGGAUAGGACCUGGCAGCCUGGUGAGACAUGCAUGCCUGGCAGGCAGAGUUUCACCCUGUCGCCCAGGCUGGAGUGCCGUGGUGCAAUCGUGGCUCACUGCAACCUCAAACUCCCGGGUUCAAGCGAUUCUUCUGCCUCAGCCUCCGGAGUAGCUGGGAAUACUGGCGCCUGUCACCACGCCUGGUGAAUUUCUGUGCUGACAUCUAAAUUUUUUCCUAACAAGUUUAAAUAGUUACAAAGGAUCAGAUUUAUGGAAUAUCAAUGCAUUUUGAAGUAAACUCUUUACCAAUGGAAUACAAAUACCAUAAAUGAUUGGACCCCCAUAAUCACACUGUUUAGACAAACACAAGCUCUACAAUUAGUAGAAAUGAUAGAUUGUGUUAUUCUCCCUGAAAUGUAAUCUCUAUCUCACUUUGUAUCUAUCCUAGAAUCAUCAUAUAUAUUACAGUAUAUUUCUAUCCUAA